AGACAACCAGGAUGUUGGCUUAGAAGCAGCCAUCAUUUAAAGAGUGCGUAAUAGCUCACUGGUCGAGUGACUCUGCGCCGAAAAUGUAACGGGGCUAAACGGACCACCGAAGCCGCGGAUGCCGAAGGGCAUGGUAGGGGAGCGUUCCCGGGGCGUCGAAGUCGCACCGUGAGGUGCGGUGGAGCGCCGGGAAGUGAGAAUGCCGGUGUGAGUAACGAAAAGAGGGGUGAGAAUCCCCUCCGCCGAAAGCCUAAGGGUUCCUGAGGAAGGUUCGUCCGCUCAGGGUAAGUCGGGACCUAAGCCGAGGCCGAAAGGCGUAGGCGAUGGGGAACAGGUUGAAAUUCCUGUACCACCUCCACUCCGCUUGAGCGAAGGGGUGACGCAGGAGGGUAGGGGAUCGCGCGGCUGGAAGUGCGCGUCCAAGCGGUUAGGCGGGUGUGUAGGCAAAUCCGCACACCACAGACGCUGAGCCGUGACGGCGAGGGAAACUGAAGUACCGAAGUCCCUGAUCCCACACUGCCGAGAAAAGCCUCUAGCGAGGAGUGAGGUGCCCGUACCGCAAACCGACACAGGUAGGCGGGGAGAGAAUCCUCAGGCGCUCGGGAGAACUCUCGUUAAGGAACUCGGCAAAAUGACCCCGUAACUUCGGGAGAAGGGGUGCCCCGGUAGGGUGAGCCUUCGGGCGAGCCCGAGGGGGCCGCAGUGAAGAGGCCCAAGCGACUGUUUAACAAAAACACAGGUCUCUGCGAAGCCGUAAGGCGAAGUAUAGGGGCUGACGCCUGCCCGGUGCUGGAAGGUUAAGGGGACGAGUUAGCCUUCGGGCGAAGCUCCGAACCGAAGCCCCAGUAAACGGCGGCCGUAACUAUAACGGUCCUAAGGUAGCGAAAUUCCUUGUCGGGUAAGUUCCGACCCGCACGAAAGGCGUAACGACUUGGGCGCUGUCUCAACGAGAGACCCGGUGAAAUCGUACUCCCUGUGAAGAUGCAGGGUACCCGCGACAAGACGGAAAGACCCCGUGGAGCUUUACUGCAGCCUGAUAUUGAAUCCGGGUACGGUCUGUACAGGAUAGGUGGGAGCCGGAGAAGCCGGGCCGCCAGGUUCGGUGGAGGCGUCGGUGGGAUACCACCCUGAUCGUGCCGGGGUUCUAACCCGCGGCCGUGAUCCGGUCGGGGGACCGU
rnacentral:rRNA from 1 species